rnacentral:rRNA from 1 species
CGCCUGGGGAGUACGGCCGCAAGGUUAAAACUCAAAUGAAUUGACGGGGGCCCGCACAAGCGGUGGAGCAUGUGGUUUAAUUCGACGCAACGCGAAGAACCUUACCUGGCCUUGACAUCCAGAGAGCUUUCCAGAGAUGGAUUGGUGCCUUCGGGAACUCUGAGACAGGUGCUGCAUGGCCGUCGUCAGCUCGUGUCGUGAGAUGUUGGGUUAAGUCCCGUAACGAGCGCAACCCCUAUCCCUGGUUGCUAGCAGGUAAUGCUGAGAACUCCAGGGAGACUGCCGGUGACAAACCGGAGGAAGGUGGGGAUGACGUCAGGUCAUCAUGGCCCUUACGGCCAGGGCUACACACGUGCUACAAUGGCGCGUACAGAGGGCUGCCAACUCGCGAGAGUGAGCCAAUCCCUUAAAACGCGUCGUAGUCCGGAUCGGAGUCUGCAACUCGACUCCGUGAAGUCGGAAUCGCUAGUAAUCGCGAAUCGGAAUGUCGCGGUGAAUACGUUCCCGGGCCUUGUACACACCGCCCGUCACACCAUGGGAGUGGAUUGCACCAGAAGUAGUUAGUCUAACCUUCGGGAGGACGAUUACCACGGUGUGGUUCAUGACUGGGGUGAAGUCGUAACAAGGUAACCGUA